CACUCCAACAGCAGCUGGAUUAAUUGAGCACAAUAUUCCUCUGCCAUCCCUGCUGGGUCCCCCUGCCAAGUGCCAGGAUUCAUAGAACCAAAGAUGAAGCCUUUGCCGUCAGUACCUCCAUCCCCAAGGAAGCAUCAAUAAAGUGGGCAUCAGAUCUCAACUUCAAACGCAGAAAUACACACGAAAAGAAAAGGAAGAUUUGAUCAUUACUUCAUGAAUCUGUCACUUUGCUAUUCUGACAUCACCAGAAGGAGAGAUGCUCACUCAGAUUCAAAUUUCAGUAGCAGGAAAUAAAAUGUAUUCCUUUCAGGGAUUCCCUGCCCUUUACCUGA